GACGAACGCUGGCGGCGUGCUUAACACAUGCAAGUCGAACGGUGAAAGGGAGCUUGCUCCCUGGAUCAGUGGCGAACGGGUGAGUAACACGUGGGCAACCUGCCCCAGACUUCGGGAUAACGCUUCGAAAGAGGUGCUAAUACCGGAUACGAACUCCUUGGGCAUCCCUGGAGUUGGAAAGUUUUUCGGUCUGGGAUGGGCCCGCGGCCUAUCAGCUUGUUGGUGAGGUAACGGCUCACCAAGGCGACGACGGGUAGCCGGCCUGAGAGGGCGACCGGCCACACUGGGACUGAGACACGGCCCAGACUCCUACGGGUGGCUG
rnacentral:rRNA from 1 species